AUCGAACGCUGGCGGCAGGCCUAACACAUGCAAGUCGAACGAGUGGCAGACGGGUGAGUAAUGUCUGGGAAACUGCCCGAUGGAGGGGGCUAACUACUGGAAACGGUAGCUAAUACCGCAUACCAUCGGAUGUGCCCAGAUGGGAUUCGCUUUUAGGUGAGUUAACGGCUCACCGAGGCGACGAUCCCUAGCUGGUCUGGGAGGAUGACCAGCCACCUGGGAACUGAGAAACGGUCCAUACGCCUACGGGAGGCAGGAGGUGGGAAUAUUGCACAAUGGGCGCAAGCCUGAUGCAGCCAGGCGGCGUGUAUGAAGAAGGCCUUCAGGUUGUAAAGUACUUUCAGCGGGUAGGCGUUACCCGCAGAAGAAGCACCGGCUAACUCCGUGCCAGCAGCCGCGGUAAUUC
rnacentral:rRNA from 1 species